GGGCGCCGCCAUAGCCGCGUUGCUGGUUGUGCUGGUGGAGAGGCGCAGGUGGCUGAGGCAGUGCUGCCCUGUGAGCUCCCUCCCCGCAGGAGCCUCUGCAGGACCCCCGACUCGUCAGAAGCUGGGAAGGGCAGCUGGCUUAUGCUGUAGGCACAAGGAAUAUCCAAGUGGCUGCAAUGGCCAGAGCUGAGCUGAUCCUAACCCAGGAGCUAGGAACUUCUUCCAGGAAGGUGCAGGUGCCCACCAGCAUGGCCUGAGACAGGCAGAGAGGAGUGUGCAGCUGGCCCUGGGUCAAACUCUGCACUGG